AGAGUUUGAUCCUGGCUCAGGAUGAAUGCUGGCGGCGUGCCUAAUACAUGCAAGUCGAGCGGUAAGGCCCUUCGGGGUACACGAGCGGCGGACGGCUGAGUAACGCGUGGGAACAUGCCCAAAGUGAGGGAUAACGCACCGAAAGGUGUGCUAAUACCGCAUAUGGUCUUCGGAUUAAAGGAUUUAUCCGCUUUGGGAGUGGCCCGCGUACGAUUAGAUUGUUGGUGAGGUAACGGCUCACCAAGUCGACGAUCGUUAACUGGUCUGGGAGGAUGAUCAGUCAGACUGGAACUGAGACACGGUCCAGACUCCUACGGGAGGCAGCAGUAAGGAAUCUUCCACAAUGGGCGAAAGCCUGAUGGAGCAACGCCGCGUGCAGGAUGAAGGCCCUCGGGUCGUAAACUGCUUUAUGAGUGAAGAAUAUGACGGUAACUCAUGAAUAAGCACCGGCUAACUACGUG
rnacentral:rRNA from 1 species